rnacentral:rRNA from 1 species
AGGACGAACGCUGGCGGCGUGCUUAACACAUGCAAGUCAAGGGGGCCCAGCAAUGGGCAACCGGCGAACGGGUGCGUAACACGUGAGCAACCUACCGAACUGUGGGGGAUAGCCGGCCUAACGGCCGAGUAAUACCGCAUACGCUCUCAGAGAGGCAUUUCUUUGAGAGGAAACCUACGGGACAGAUCGAGGGCUCGCGGCCUAUCAGCUAGUUGGCGAGGUAACGGCUCACCAAGGCAACGACGGGUA